UGGGAUAUAGCUCGAAGGUCGAGCGUGAGACUGUUAAUCUCUUGGUGAGAGUUCGAUUCUCUCUAUCCCAG
rnacentral:tRNA from 2 species